AUUGAACGCUGGCGGAAUGCUUUACACAUGCAAGUCGAGCGGCAGCGCGGGGGCAACCCUGGCGGCGAGCGGCGAACGGGUGAGUAACAUAUCGGAACGUACCCCGUCGUGGGGGAUAACACAGCGAAAGCUGUGCUAAUACCGCAUACGACCUGAGGGUGAAAGCGGGGAUCGCAAGACCUCGCGCGAUGGGAGCGGCCGAUAUCGGAUUAGCUUGUUGGUGAGGUAAAGGCUCACCAAGGCGACGAUCCGUAGCUGGUCUGAGAGGACGACCAGCCACACUGGAACUGAGACACGGUCCAGACUCCUACGGAGGCAGCAGUGGGAAUUUUGGACAAUGGGGGCAACCCUGAUCCAGCCAUUCCGCGUGAGUGAAGAA
rnacentral:rRNA from 1 species